GGUCGGUCGGUCCGGUUCGGAUUCGGAUUUCGCUGGACGGAAGAGAGAGUGAUUCACGUGGUGUAAGAGUUCUAUGGGCGCGAUUUGUGGUGUUUGUGGUGUUGCCUACCUUGCAGGCGCUUUCCAUCUCGGUGGGCCGCCGAUAAUUAUCGGUUUCGUUUGUCGUCCCGUCGUCUGUGCGCUGGCCUAUAGAGAUAUGGUUGGAAGUUAAAAAAAGUUUUGAUAGCGUGUUUUAGGGCAAAGCACUGCCCGGUCUAUUAACCUGUGAUUAUGAGCCACAUAGGGGCUUGUUCGACAAAGAAAAGGAUUGUCUAAGCAGUAAUAGUCAAGGGACAAGUUUUCUAGUGAAUGUGGUCGUAUGAACAACGGUGUUCGCUCGGUGGUGUGGCAAUGGGUUUCGAUCGAUGAUAAGUGAUAUUUGAUGUCCGUUGAUAACAAAGGAUAACGUGGUUCAACGGGGCUAUAUAGCGGUGGCUACCUGUGCACGCUACGAAAAAUAUUGAAGAAAUUUCCAUAGUGAACAGAACGAACCAAUCUGCAUCUUAAACACUGCAGCCAUUCUUUUUUGUUGAUUGCUGAUUACGAUCAUCAAUGCGGUGGUAUGUCUCCAACUGUUCCGAAUAAUCGAAUCAACCAAAUGAAGUCAAAUGCCCCACAAAAACUUCUGCUGUGCUUAGCCUUGAAAAGCCUUGAAGGUGAAGUGAGUGCUGUAUGAAAAAUUGUGAGUUUCCUACCGCCCAACGACGGUUAAGGUGAUUACAAUAGUUUGUCAACCUGCUGCAGAGGCGUCGUCAUAUUCCGGCAAGUGACGAUAAAGAAGCCAAAUAAUACACCUUCAUGGAAAAGUAACGACUGAACGGAUUAGUUUUGGGAUUUAUAAGCAUUGUUGUUGUCGUGAAUGCCAAAGUACAAG